GUGAUGGAGAUAAAAUGAGAUUGCAUCAAUUAUCUUCUUUCUCUUGUUUAAUUAAGUUUCUGCUGGUGCCUGGUGGUGGUACCGGCGGUGGUGGUGGUGGUAUAACUAGUUUUUUGUUGUUUUUGCUGGUGGUUGGGUCGGAAUGAUAAAAUUGGUGAUAAAGAUAGCGUUGGUUAUUGUUAUUGUCGUGGUGGUUAUGGUGGUGGAGAUUGGGUGUGUUCUUUUUGGUUGGGAGAUGGUGGUGUUGAUUUCGUAUGGCUGUGAAAGAAGAAGGGUAUACAAAUAUUGGCGGUGGUGGUGAUUUCCGCUCAAUUCAGACUGGUAAGCAUUAGCAACGUACCAUGCCUAUGUGAUGUUCUUUUUAAUUUCUGCUUAUCAGUUUGAAAUUCAACAGAAGACUACAAUGAUAUUGGUGGGCUAGAACUACAGAUGCAAUAACUUAAAGAAGCAAUUGCUUUGCUAAUUACUCACAGACAAGUUUGUGAAAAUAGGAAUCAAACCCAAAGGAGUUCUACCGGAAAGACAUCCUUGAACAGGCAACACGGUGAUGGCCCGUGCAUGUGUGGCAGAAACAAAUGCAACAUUUUUGAAGCUAGCAGGUCCUCAAUUGGUUCAGAUGUUCAUUGGUGAUAGAGCUAAAUUUGUCCGUGAUGCGUUUAAACUUGUGAAGGAGAAAGACCUUUCAUCAUCUUCAUCGAUGAGAUUGACACAAUUGGAUCUAAGCGAUUUGAUGGGUACAUGAUGUUUAUGUCUCAAUGAAAUGUGUUCCAGGUGUUUCAAUUUUGAGGUGAAAUCUCAUGGUUAAACUCGAUAAUUUAUAUGUUUAUACUUCUCAGUAACAUGCUUUUCUUCUCAUUCCUUUUCGAUUUUCGUUCUACUGCAAUGACACCAAUGGAGAUAGGAAUUAUAACGGACAAUGUUGGAACUGCUUAACCAACUUGAUGGUUUGAGCAUUAAUAUUCAGAUAGAGGUUUAGGAAAACUAUGUCACUAGGAUUGAUGCUCAUAGAUGGAACUUUGCUGAUAUAAAGAGCGUAUUAUUAGCUUUUAGACAAGUUAUGUACUAUGAUUGAUGCUUAAUGAAACCCAUUAUUUUAUCAAGCAAUGGAAUCCAUCUAAUGGAUUCUAGAGUAUAUUUAACUGUCUAAGUCCCUAUUUCUAGCUUGAUACAGUUGGUUUCUUUACUAUAUAUGAGUUUCACAAAUAUCAGUUGUAUAUGAUCUUGCAUACAUGUUAAAUGUAUAUUUACA